CGAGACUCGACCGAGUCUCGCGCAAUGUCAUGGUGGCGUCAAACAAGCCCUUAAUAUGGCGUCCCUUCCGGGUGUUGGCCGGACUCUUACUAGAGGGACUCUAAACACGCACUUACAUAUAGGUCUUGCAACUCGAUCAAUUUUCAGCGGUGGGGGGUAGUCGUCUUAAAAGAAGCAGGGUGCACUUUAACUUUUAGUCACAAACGUCGCUGUGAUCGAGUGACUCCUUAUCUAUCUCACUCUACAGUCGGCUGUGGAAAAAAGAAAUAGAAACGGGUUACCUUCGAAUCAGAGGUGGCCGUAGCCCAGUGGUUAGGGUAGCGAAUUCACGACCGAAAGGUUCAGGGUUUCGCGCCCAACUUCCAGUGGCAUUCACCAAUGGGUUUUCAUAUGAAACUUAAGUCCCCUCACGCUGAGUUGAAUAAGGCCCGUCUCGCAAGCAGGCUUCUUCGACACUAGCGAUUGCGGGAAAAACUGGCAAAAUCGACCGCAUUAGGGUUACGAGCUACAACGUGGUGAGGAUAGGGAACUGCCCAGACCUGUAUACAAGACCGUGUUUCGAAACAGGCGUACGGAUUCCAAUAUAUUAGGGCUCAUUCAGACCGAAAGCAGCGGGAAGCGAGCAGCGGAAUCUUGGCCGCGAAACUACAUUUUCUGCCUUUUUAUAUCAAGUAACCGGAGUUCAGUGGGUUUUGACGGCCAUCUUGUCACAUAAGCAGAACGCCCGCAAUCGUGGUUACGAAAAAAAACGUUUUUUGAAAAUGAGUGGCUAAGUUCCCGUGUACCUGAGCAAUGAGCGACGAUUUCUGGCUGAAAAAAUUGUAAAGUGUGCUCAAAAUGUAAAUAAAUAUGUAGUAAAAAUUU